GACGAACGCUGGCGGCGUGCUUAAUACAUGCAAGUCGAACGGAAAGGGCCUGCUUUUGUGGUGUGCGCGAGAGGCGAACGGGGGAGUGACACGUGAGGAACAUGCGCUUGACAGUGGGAUAACUUCAGGAAACUGGGUAGAAAACCGGAUAGGAGAUCCUGCUGCAUGGGGGGGGUAGGAAAGAGGCGGAGGUUGGGGAUGGACUGGCGGCUUAUCAGCUUGUUGGUGGGGUAGUGGCUUACCAAGGCAUUGAGGGGUAGCCGCCCUGAGAGGGUGACCGGCCCCAGUGGGCCUCGGAUGCGACCCAGACUCCUACGGGGGGCAGCGGCGGAAGAUCUUGCGCGAUGGGCGGAAGCAUGGUGCAGCGUCGCCGCGUCCGAGAUGACGGCCGUCGGGUUGUAAACCGCGUUAGCGUGUGACGAUCAGUCAGUGACGGUAAUGGGUAAAGAAGCACCGGCUAACUACGUG
rnacentral:rRNA from 1 species